rnacentral:pre_miRNA from 2 species
UCUCUGGGCCUGUGUCUUAGGCUCUUCAAAGAUCAACCGAGCAAAAGCACACGGCCUGCAGAGA